rnacentral:pre_miRNA from 14 species
GUAGAGGCAGUGGCACAGGGCGCCUGGGCUGAGAUUCGGGGGUGCCGGGGCCCUGUGGCAUGCGUCCUCUCCUCUGCCAUCCCAG